GCUGGUUUGCCCGAGUGGUUAAGGGGGGAAGACUUACGGUCUUCCUCACAUAAGUGCGCAUGGGUUCAAACCCCACAUCCAACA
rnacentral:tRNA from 1 species